rnacentral:rRNA from 1 species
GAUGAACGCUGGCGGCGUGCCUAAUACAUGCAAGUCGAGCGAACAGACGAGGAGCUUGCUCCUCUGACGUUAGCGGCGGACGGGUGAGUAACACGUGGAUAACCUGCCUAUAAGACUGGGAUAACUUCGGGAAACCGGAGCUAAUACCGGAUAAUAUAUUGAACCGCAUGGUUCAAUAGUGAAAGACGGUUUUGCUGUCACUUAUAGAUGGAUCCGCGCCGCAUUAGCUAGUUGGUAAGGUAACGGCUUACCAAGGCAACGAUGCGUAGCCGACCUGAGAGGGUGAUCGGCCACACUGGAACUGAGACACGGUCCAGACUCCUACGGGAGGCAGCAGUAGGGAAUCUUCCGCAAUGGGCGAAAGCUUGACGGAGCAACGCCGCGUGAGUGAUGAAGCUCUUCGGAUCGUAAAACUCUGUUAUUAGGGAAGAACAAAUGUGUAAGUAACUAUGCACGUCUUGACGGUACCUAAUCAGAAAGCCACGGCUAACUACGUG